GACGAACGCUGGCGGCGUGCUUAACACAUGCAAGUCGAGCGAUGAAGCACCUUCGGGUGUGGAUUAGCGGCGAACGGGUGAGGAACACGUGAGGAAUCUGCCUUCCACUCUGGGAUAACUCCGGGAAACCGGGGCUAAUACCGGAUACUUUCAACUGGCGGCAUCGCCGGUUGAAGAAAGUUUUUCGGUGGAAGAUGACCUCGCGGCCUAUCAGCUUGUUGGUGAGGUAAUGGCUCACCAAGGCGACGACGGGUAGCCGGCCUGAGAGGGCGACCGGCCACACUGGGACUGAGACACGGCCCAGACUCCUACGGGAGGCAGCAGUGGGGAAUAUUGGGCAAUGGAGGAAACUCUGACCCAGCGACGCCGCGUGAGGGAUGAAGGCCUUCGGGUUGUAAACCUCUUUCAGCAGGGAAUAAGCGAAAGUGAAGGUACCUGCAGAAGAAGCACCGGCUAACUAUGUGCCAGCAGCCGCGGUAA
rnacentral:rRNA from 1 species